rnacentral:tRNA from 4 species
AGCGCCAUCAUCUAAUGGUUAGGAUUCAGGCUUUUCACGCCUGCCAUACGGGUUCGAAUCCCGUUGGCGUUA